GGCCCACCGGUCAGUGCGCCGCGGGGAGCCAUCUCGUAUCGUCCCCUCCACCUCGCCGGAGGUGGAGGUGGAGGCGGAUCAUCCGCAGAUGGUUUGGUUGGUGGCUUCGUACGACCUGAUUUCACCAUGGACCGCCGGAUCUUUUCCUCUUCGAUCUGAAUCUGGGUUAUUUCUACUCACACAUGCUUCGCAUCCUCAAUCCUGAUCUUGCGCUGCGCAGGUGGGAAAGCUUCUUGUGGGCUGGAAUCAUCUGGAUCCUGGAUCCUGGAUCCAUCCAUCAGAGUUUACAAGUUCUCUUGAAAGUUGAAACUUAAAUACAUCACAAUUACCAACUAAGGUAUGCAGUUCCAGAGAAAGAGUAGCGACAGUGAAAAGUGUGCAGUAAAUUGAGGUAUAGCUAAGUUUCAAGGAUUCUAUCAACCUUGCUCUUUUUGCGAAGCCCAGUGAGCAGAUGGUCUCGCCGACAUCAUCCUUAGAAGGACUGAUAUGCACUACCAUCAGAACUUUUGAACCACCACCUGUAACAUAUCAACAUAAACCAUAUAGGUUUACAUUACAUUACAUUUCUUUGUAACUUUGAUGCUUCAAAUUGGACUGGGAAAUUUCCCUUACCAAGAGAAUCACUGAGAAUUUGGGUGAGCUUGCUGUUUCUGCAGAGUUUGAAAAUUAAAAUAAGCAAUGACAUCUCCAAGGGCUGAUAGAGAGAGGUUUAUGGCCUUACCUUCAUCCAUUGUCAACCCAGACGCACCAGUCUUUAGCAACCGCUCACUGCCACCAAGAUCGACGAGCCAAAGCUUGCUGACUUCUUCAGUGACACCUCCAGAUCUUCUUAUGGUAAUUCUUGUCAAGCUACACACAGACACAGCUAAGGCACAUAAAAUUGGGUACUGUUCAAGUUACCAUACUGCAGAAACUGAAACUCUGUAGCUGGAACGGCUCAUCAACCCACCAGUGUGAUCGGCUCGAAACAUCGUUGACAUUUGUCCAGGAUGUCGAUCGGGAUCGCCGCCCUCUGCAAUACCACUGGUUGGCUUUCUUGAUGUCUGGCAUCGCAACAUCGGUGAAUUGAUGGGUCUUUACCACGUUGUAUUGCAUUCUGUGGACCUGAAGAGAUGCUGCCUUGGUGCCAACAAGUCCCUGAGACUUCCCAUGUAGACCUCAAGCAUGCUUAUGGAGAAAGAAUAUGUGGAUGAACUAUCUUGAGAAGCAUGCGAAAACAGUUCUUGUAUCGCUCGAGGCACGACGCCAAGGUUAUCGUUAGUUCCUUCCUGCAUGCAGUUUGGAAGGAAAGGUCUUUCCUGUCCCAGUUUGGCCAAAAGCAAGGAUGCAGACGUUGUGCCCAUCAAGUGCAGAUCUGAUGAUUGGCUUUACCUCAUGGAAGAGAUCAUCUGCAGCAUGAACACGGUUGAAAUGAGUUAUACUUUAAGAAUAUGAGCACUGGAAUUGUGGAAAGGCAGUGAAGCAAGAUGAACCUUGCGUUGACUCCUGGUCAAACACCCUAUCAACACUGAAAUCUUUCUUGACGCCCACUGCUCGAACUGUGAUCUUCUCUUGUUCAACAGUAACUGGUGAUUUGAUCUUGAAGUUGCUGGUUGAGAUUAACGGCCGGACCCGGCAGAACACCCUGAUACUUCCUGAAUUGUAGCCAAACUCAGCUCAUUGGACUCUCAAGGAAUAAUAAUAGCUCUAUGCUGUGGAGAACACCAACUUCUAUCUUGUAUCAAAGGCAGUACCUUUCAGGUCUAUGAGUUUGUCCAGCGCCUCUCGCCUUCUCCGGUUGAGAUGUCUAUGCCUUGAUCUCAUAGCCGAAAUCUCCUCUGAAACAACAUUGGGCCAAAAGGAUUAUAUUCUGGUUUUUCUGUUUCAAUAAACCGUCACAUGAACUCAAUACACAAGAGAGUGGUGUUUGUCUGAACCUUGCAGAGUUGACAUGUCCUUGUCAUGGCCAAGUACGAUUUCACCGUUGGGGACAUCCAAGCUCAGGUUCUCCAGUGGCAGCAUCACAUGACCCCCCAUGGCCUCCUUC